CUUGAUCGAGCCGAGCCACAGCGGCUCGCCGGCGCGAUCCUGACCGUAGGUGGCCAGAAGUGCUUGUGCCUC
rnacentral:antisense_RNA from 1 species